GAUGAACGCUAGCGGGAGGCCUAACACAUGCAAGCCGAGCGGUAUUUGUCUUUCGGGACAGAGAGAGCGGCGUACGGGUGCGGAACACGUGUGCAACCUGCCUUUAUCAGGGGGAUAGCCCUUCGAAAGGAAGAUUAAUACCCCAUAAUAUAUCUGAUGGCAUCAUUAGAUAUUGAAAACUCCGGUGGAUAGAGAUGGGCACGCGCAAGAUUAGAUAGUUGGCGAGGUAACGGCUCACCAAGUCAGUGAUCUUUAGGGGGCCUGAGAGGGUGAUCCCCCACACUGGUACUGAGACACGGACCAGACUCCUACGGGAGGCAGCAGUGAGGAAUAUUGGACAAUGGGUGCGAGCCUGAUCCAGCCAUCCCGCGUGAAGGACGACGGUUCUAUGGAUUGUAAACUUCUUUUAUACUGGGAUAAACCUACUCUCGUGAGGGUAGCUGAAGGUACAGUAUGAAUAAGCACCGGCUAACUCCGUGCCAGCCGCCGCAGUAA
rnacentral:rRNA from 1 species